rnacentral:rRNA from 1 species
AGCAGCCGCGGUAAUUCCAGCUCCAAUAGCGUAUAUUAAAGUUGUUGCAGUUAAAAAGCUCGUAGUUGAAUUUCGGGGUCAGUAGGUUGGUCGUGCCACUGGUAUGUACUGGCUUCACUGAUUCCUCCUUCUUGAAGAACUGUAAUGUCAUUAAUUUGGUGUUGCAGGGAAACAGGACCGUUACUUUGAAAAAAUUAGAGUGUUUAAAGCAGGCUAACGCUUGAAUACAUUAGCAUGGAAUAAUGAAAUAGGACGUUUGACCCUAUUUUGUUGGUUUCUUAGGAUCGACGUAAUGAUUAAUAGGGAUAGUUGGGGGCAUUAGUAUUCAAUUGUCAGAGGUGAAAUUCUUGGAUUUAUUGAAGACUGACUACUGCGAAAGCAUUUGCCAAGGAUGUUUUCAUUAAUCAAGAACGAAAGUUAGGGGAUCGAAGACGAUCAGAUACCGUCGUAGUCUUAACCAUAAACUAUGCCGACUAGGGAUCGGAUGAUGUAAUUUUUAAUGACUCAUUCGGCGCCUUAC